rnacentral:rRNA from 1 species
ACGAUAACGGCGUCGAGCGGCGGACGGGUGAGUAAUGCCUGGGAAAUUGCCCUGAUGUGGGGGAUAACCAUUGGAAACGAUGGCUAAUACCGCAUAAUAGCUUCGGCUCAAAGAGGGGGACCUUCGGGCCUCUCGCGUCAGGAUAUGCCCAGGUGGGAUUAGCUAGUUGGUGAGGUAAGGGCUCACCAAGGCGACGAUCCCUAGCUGGUCUGAGAGGAUGAUCAGCCACACUGGAACUGAGACACGGUCCAGACUCCUACGGGAGGCAGCAGUGGGGAAUAUUGCACAAUGGGCGCAAGCCUGAUGCAGCCAUGCCGCGUGUAUGAAGAAGGCCUUCGGGUUGUAAAGUACUUUCAGCAGUGAGGAAGGUUCAUGCGUUAAUAGCGUAUGGAUUUGACGUUAGCUGCAGAAGAAGCACCGGCUAACUCCGUGCCAGCAGCCGCGGUAAUACGGAGGGUGCGAGCGUUAAUCGGAAUUACUGGGCGUAAAGCGCAUGCAGGUGGUUUGUUAAGUCAGAUGUGAAAGCCCGGGGCUCAACCUCGGAAUUGCAUUUGAAACUGGCAGACUAGAGUACUGUAG